rnacentral:rRNA from 1 species
UACGUAGGGGGCAAGCGUUGUCCGGAAUGACUGGGCGUAAAGGGAGUGUAGGCGGCCAAUUAAGCUAGAUGUGAAAUCCCACGGCUUAACCGUGGAACUGCAUCUAAAACUGGAUGGCUGGAGUGCAGGAGGGGUAAGCGGAAUUCCUAGUGUAGCGGUGAAAUGCGUAGAUAUUAGGAGGAACACCGGUGGCGAAGGCGGCUUACUGGACUGUAACUGACGUUGAGGCUCGAAGGCGUGGGGAGCAAACAGG